rnacentral:rRNA from 1 species
GAGGGGCAGCGAGGGUAAUAGCAAUAUUACUUGUCGGCGACCGGCGCACGGGUGCGUAACGCGUAUGCAACCUACCAUCAACAGGGGGAUAACACUGAGAAAUUGGUACUAAUACCCCAUAAUAUCUCAUGCGGCAUCGCAUGGGGUUGAAAACUCCGGUGGUUGAUGAUGGGCAUGCGUUGUAUUAGCUGGUUGGUGAGGUAACGGCUCACCAAGGCGACGAUACAUAGGGGGACUGAGAGGUUAACCCCCCACAUUGGUACUGAGACACGGACCAAACUCCUACGGGAGGCAGCAGUGAGGAAUAUUGGUCAAUGGACGCAAGUCUGAACCAGCCAUGCCGCGUGCAGGAUGACGGCUCUAUGAGUUGUAAACUGCUUUUGUACGAGGGUAAACCCCGAUACGUGUAUCGGGUUGAAAGUAUCGUACGAAUAAGGAUCGGCUAACUCCGUGCCAGCAGCCGCGGUAAUACGGAGGAUCCGAGCGUUAUCCGGAUUUAUUGGGUUUAAAGGGUGCGUAGGCGGUUUGAUAAGUUAGAGGUGAAAUGUCGGGGCUCAACCCCGAAACUGCCUCUAAUACUGUUGGACUAGAGAAUAGUUGCGGUAGGCGGAAUGUAUGGUGUAGCGGUGAAAUGCUUAGAGAUCAUACAGAACACCGAUUGCGAAGGCAGCUUACCAAACUAUAUCUGACGUUGAGGCACGAAAGCGUGGGUAGCAAACAGGAUUAGAUACCCUGGUAGUCCACGCAGUAAACGAUGAUAACUCGUUGUCGGCGAUACACAGUCGGUGACUAAGCGAAAGCGAUAAGUUAUCCACCUGGGGAGUACGUUCGCAAGAAUGAAACUCAAAGGAAUUGACGGGGGCCCGCACAAGCGGAGGAACAUGUGGUUUAAUUCGAUGAUACGCGAGGAACCUUACCCGGGCUUGAAAGUUAGCGACGACGCUUGAAAGAGCGUUUCCCUUCGGGGCGCGAAACUAGGUGCUGCAUGGUUGUCGUCAGCUCGUGCCGUGAGGUGUCGGGUUAAGUCCCAUAACGAGCGCAACCCCUACUGUUAGUUGCCAUCAGGUGAUGCUGGGCACUCUAGCGGGACUGCCGGUGUAAGCCGAGAGGAAGGUGGGGAUGACGUCAAAUCAGCACGGCCCUUACGUCCGGGGCCACACACGUGUUACAAUGGUAGGUACAGAGGGCAGCUACCCUGCGAAGGGGUGCGAAUCUCGAAAGCCUAUCUCAGUUCGGAUUGGAGGCUGAAACCCGCCUCCAUGAAGUUGGAUUCGCUAGUAAUCGCGCAUCAGCCAUGGCGCGGUGAAUACGUUCCCGGGC